rnacentral:rRNA from 1 species
UAUUGUUUGGGAAUGCAGCUCUAAAUGGGUGGUAAAUUUCACCUAAUGCUAAAUAUAAGCGAGAGACCGAUAGCGAACAAGUACAGUGAUGGAAAGAUGAAAAGAACUUUGAAAAGAGAGUUAAAUAGUACGUGAAAUUGUUGAAAGGGAAACGAUUGAAGUCAGUCAUGCCGACGGGAAUCAACUUAGAGGAAACUCUGGGUGCACUUCUUCGUUUGGCAGGUUAGCGUCAAUUUAC